CAAGUCGAACGCGAAAGGGGGGGCAACCCCCCAAGUAGAGUGGCGAACGGGUGAGUAAUACAUCGGAACGUACCCAGUAGCGGGGGAUAACCUCUCGAAAGAGAGGCUAAUACCGCAUACGACCUACGGGUGAAAGAGGGGGAUCGCAAGACCUCUCACUAUUGGAGCGGCCGAUGUCGGAUUAGCUAGUUGGCGGGGUAACGGCCCACCAAGGCGACGAUCCGUAGCUGGUCUGAGAGGACGACCAGCCACACUGGAACUGAGACACGGUCCAGACUCCUACGGGAGGCAGCAGUGGGGAAUUUUGGACAAUGGGCGCAAGCCUGAUCCAGCCAUGCCGCGUGGGUGAAGAAGGCCUUCGGGUUGUAAAGCCCUUUCGGCUGGGACGAAAAGGUCCGUGUUAACACCACGGAUCCAUGACGGUACCAGCAGAAGAAGCACCGGCUAACUACGUGCCAGCAGCCGCGGUAAUACGUAGGGUGCAGGCGUUAAUCGGAAUUACUGGGCGUAAAGCGUGCGCAGGCGGUCUUUUAAGUCAGAUGUGAAAUCCCCGGGCUUAACCUGGGAACUGCGUUUGAAACUGGAAGGCUUGAGUGUGGCAGAGGGGGGUGGAAUUCCACGUGUAGCAGUGAAAUGCGUAGAGAUGUGGAGGAACACCGAUGGCGAAGGCAGCCCCCUGGGCUAACACUGACGCUCAUGCACGAAAGCGUGGGGAGCAAACAGGAUUAGAUACCCUGGUAGUCCACGCCCUAAACUAUGUCAACUGGUUGUCGGGGAAGCAAUUCCUUGGUAACGAAGCUAACGCGUGAAGUUGACCGCCUGGGGAGUACGGCCGCAAGGUUAAAACUCAAAGGAAUUGACGGGGACCCGCACAAGCGGUGGAUUAUGUGGAUUAAUUCGAUGCACCGCGAAAAACCUUACCUACCCUUGACAUGUACGGAA
rnacentral:rRNA from 1 species